GGUUAAGCGACUAAGCGUACACGGUGGAUGCCCUGGCAGUCAGAGGCGAUGAAGGGCGUGCUAAUCUGCGAUAAGCGCCGGUAAGGUGAUAUGAACCGUUAUAACCGGCGAUACCCGAAUGGGGAAACCCAGUGUGACUCGUCACACUAUCAUUAACUGAAUCCAUAGGUUAAUGAGGCGAACCGGGGGAACUGAAACAUCUAAGUACCCCGAGGAAAAGAAAUCAACCGAGAUUCCCCCAGUAGCGGCGAGCGAACGGGGAGGAGCCCAGAGCCUGAAUCAGCAUGUGUGUUAGUGGAAGCGUCUGGAAAGGCGCGCGAUACAGGGUGACAGCCCCGUACACAAAAGCGCAUGUGCUGUGAGCUCGAUGAGUAGGGCGGGACACGUGGUAUCCUGUCUGAAUAUGGGGGGACCAUCCUCCAAGGCUAAAUACUCCUGACUGACCGAUAGUGAACCAGUACCGUGAGGGAAAGGCGAAAAGAACCCCGGCGAGGGGAGUGAAAAAGAACCUGAAACCGUGUACGUACAAGCAGUGGGAGCCCCACCACCAAAGCAUUUGCUGUACCGCGUUGACGGAGCGAAGCGACGUCAAACCGAUAAAACAGCAGUGUAAAGUGAGCCGCAGGGCGCUUUGCGCGACAGCGCAAAGGCAGGCGGUUUCGCGUAGCGAAAGCGAAUGCUUUGGGGUGGGGUGACUGCGUACCUUUUGUAUAAUGGGUCAGCGACUUAUAUUCUGUAGCAAGGUUAACCGAAUAGGGGAGCCGGAGGGAAACCGAGUCUUAAU
rnacentral:rRNA from 1 species